UACGGAGGGUGCAAGCGUUAUCCGGAUUUACUGGGUUUAAAGGGUGCGUAGGCGGGUCUUUAAGUCAGUGGUGAAAACUUCGAGCUCAACUCGAAAACUGCCAUUGAUACUAUUGAUCUUGAAUUUAGUUGAGGUUGGCGGAAUGUGUCGUGUAGCGGUGAAAUGCUUAGAUAUGACACAGAACACCGAUUGCGAAGGCAGCUGGCUAAACUAAAAUUGACGCUGAGGCACGAAAGUGUGGGGAUCAAACAGG
rnacentral:rRNA from 1 species